CGAGACAGACGCUCCCAGGUGUUCUGUAUUCAGGUCACCUCUGGGUGCAGGGUGGCUGCUGCUCCCCUGGGCUCUGUGUCCCAGGUCCUGCGAUGCCUGACAAAGGCUGCAGCCAGAUCACUGGGGCACAUGCGAGGAGGAAACAGAAUGGACAGGCCGCAACAUGCCAAGCCACUAAAAGGAUUGACGCUUUAUUCUUCAGAGGAGAAAUACCAUUGUGGGGUCUACGGACCUCUAUCUAAGGCUUGUUAAAACAAAACAGAGAUGCUUAUGCUCUGGAAAGACGCCCGGGAUCCACUGGGCAGAAUGGCAAAGGAAAGAUCCCCAGCACGGAGCUCAGACAGAUGUCCUCGGCGGAGCUGAGUGCGGGGGUACAGGGUGUGGGGGUGCAUCAGUUGUGCUCUGACAGGUGCACAGGGUCCCCUUUCCCUUUGGCACCUCGGCUGCCUGUGCUUCUGGACCAACUGCCUGUUGAGAAAGCCUCUCUGUGUCCAGAAGUGAACUAUGAAAGGCCCUGAGUGGAUGGACUAUAUGCAAGGCACAGGAAGGAGGCCAAGCCCUCAGGAGUGGCAUCCAUGUGCAUUUGGGGCAGAGUGACGACUGGAAAAGACUGACCACGGCCCAGGCUCCCUGCCUUUCAGCUGCCAGUCUGCUGGGAAGUCACUUCCAUGAGGGUGGGGAGAGGUGAUGGCUAUUGACACCCAAGUUACACCUACCAAUGACCCAGUGGCUUCGGGCCUCACAGGCAGUGAGUGGACAUCUAGGCACCUGGAAUGCACCUCUAGGGCUCUGUGCCCGGGCUCUGAACAAGGAGAGAAGCCGCCGGCCCUCCUCCUGACCACUUCACCUCCGGCAGGUGAGACUAAUGAUGCACCUAAGUUAAUUCACUCGACUCUGGGACUAUGAGGCAGUUCAUCCACACGCUCCAAACUCCAGCUUAUUGUAGGAGACCAGUGCCUCGAUCUCAUGAGGUCAUCUCGACGCCUCAGCUGUAACCCUUGGAGAACCUGUGGUCUCUGCUCCUCUGCCUGCUGACAUGAUCAUCCCAGGUGCAAAACAGGUAUGAGCCACUGGCAUUCCUGCGCGCCAGUCUUCCAUCCUCUUUUCCUCGAGGGACCCACCGGCCAACCAGAUGUGCUGUUGUCCUGAGAACUGGCUCCACAUUUUGUGAGAUGUUUAAAGUCCAGGGAGGUCACUUAUAAGGAGGCACCUCUGUUCUCCAGGUGCACACACAAAGCCUCCCGUUAUCCGGUCUUGCACGUGCGUCCUUAGGGGCCAGCACCCUGGCUGCCUUCCAGAGUCUGCCCGGCUUUUCCAUCCCAUCUCUGCUCCCGAAGGCAUCCCGCUGCGGUCCUGGGCAUCUUGCACAGAAGCCCCUGCAAAUACCUACUUACAUAAGCCACGUACACGUUCUGUGCUAUUCCACGGUGGCUCUUGGUGCAAUUUGUUUUUAUUUCCUGCAAGCAGACUUUUCUUAUUACUUAACCUUUUUGGCCCCACAUUUCUUUAAUCUGCAAAAUGUGGCAAUGGAACCCGAUCAGAGAUCUUCAAAGCGAGUCCCCAGAGUCUCUUGAGAAGCCGCUAUUUCCAUAUUGGGCUUCCCAGUAAGUUUCCUUUUGAAGAAGGGGCUCUGUGGCUUAAAACAAGUUUGAAAACAUUUGGAUUAGCGGAUCUUGGAACUUCUUUCUGCUCUAACAUUCUGUGAAUCUAAAAACAUUCCUGACAUCGUCUAGCUGGAAGCUCUUAGUUCCAUGAAUUAUUUAAGAAUUAUUUUACUGCUGUCAUUAUGCUUACUGUUUUCUCCUUGUAUUCCUGUCCUCGUGAACACGGAGUGCCACCAACCAAACCUCAGGACCCGAGAAGCAUCCUAACGUGGCUGCUGGGUCCCUGGAGUGCCCUGCAAGUGGAGACGCUGCCUACUCAGUUUUUAAACUAAAUGAACAAUUUUUAAAAAAAUGUAAGAUCGCUUGGGGGAAUGUGAAUAUAAGAGUCUUAUUUUCUUUGCUUUGAAAUGGAAAUGAUAGAAAAGGAAGUGAGAAAAAAGAAAUGAACACAGAUGUUGGGUCUUGGCUAAUCAUUGUUCUAGAAAACCUCACCAAUACUGGGGAAAGGAAAGAAAUGAGCAAUGAUACUCAUACUAAUAGAGUAAACGUGGUUUAGUUUUCCCUCCAUACCAGCUGUGGAAGUGAAAGAAAUACAGAGAUUUUGUCAGGUUUAAGUUGAAAGCGGAACACAAAGUCUCAUUCUUUCAGAAGAUAAAGGGCCACACUAUACAAGACCAACUGAGGAAAAAGUAACAAGGAAGAGCGCCUCGCCCACCAGAAAUUGCCACAAAUUCUGUCACUGGCCCAGGGACAGAAAAAUACUCCCAUGCUGGUACCCACACUCUACCUGCCCCCACCCCCAGAGCUGGCUCAGCAGUGGGAUGAACUGUGGCUCCUGGGCGCUCAAUUCCAGCCCAUCCCAAAUGCACAUCCCACGUGUGUGUGCGUGCAUGCACGUGAAUGUGUCUGUAUGCAUACACGUGUGAACAUGCAUGUAUGCAUGUGUGCGUGCAUGUGUGAAUGUGCCU
rnacentral:lncRNA from 1 species